ACUCAGUGAAAUUGAACUCGCUGUGAAGAUGCAGUGUACCCGCGGCAAGACGGAAAGACCCCGUGAACCUUUACUAUAGCUUGACACUGAACAUUGAGCCUUGAUGUGUAGGAUAGGUGGGAGGCUUUGAAGUGUGGACGCCAGUCUGCAUGGAGCCGACCUUGAAAUACCACCCUUUAAUGUUUGAUGUUCUAACGUUGACCCGUAAUCCGGGUUGCGGACAGUGUCUGGUGGGUAGUUUGACUGGGGCGGUCUCCUCCUAAAGAGUAACGGAGGAGCACGAAGGUUGGCUAAUCCUGGUCGGACAUCAGGAGGUUAGUGCAAUGGCAUAAGC
rnacentral:rRNA from 1 species